rnacentral:lncRNA from 1 species
GGUGAUCAACGAUGAUGCAUUUACUUUAGAGGGUCGAAAUGAAGGCAGAAGAAGAAAAAGGGAUUUUGUGUGUUUUUGAAGAAGAUGAGGAAUCGUAGAGAGAUGGAGAGAAAGGAGGGUUAAGUCAGAGCCAUUGUUUCCAAUGAGAUGGAUAUGCAACACUGUAUUGGAAACCGAUAACAUUAAUUAUUUGUCAUUUACAAUGCACUGUAAACUUGAAUUUGAAUUGUGAUUUGUGCUAGCCAUCAGCAAGAUCAGAUCUAUGGCUGAUAAAUAAGUGGCAACCAAAGGUGUAGAUCCAAGGGCUAGGAUUGUUUGGCGCCUAAAAAAGAAGAAUUAGGAUUUGAAGUGUUAAUUGGAGUGUUAAUUAGGAUUAGGAAUAAGUUAGAUAGACAAUAACAACAUAGUUUGAAAAACUAUAACUGCAGAAGAACUACCUAAUCCUAGCCAUACGAUUUGAAUAUCGAAUAUAGUCGUUUGAACACUUGACCUUAUCCAAAAAAAUAACCGCUUUCGAGAUCCCUUCGCCCAUCGACCAGAGGCGCGCGUCUUCGAUUCUCUUCCAAGGAGCGCAACUUCAAUAGAAAUGCAAGGUCAAGUCUUUCCCAUAAAGUCAACUAUUUUGACCACAUUAAAUGAUACCCUUUUAUAAAUAUUGACUAACAGCCUUAUUAUUAUUAUUAUUAUUAUUAUUAUUAUUGAUUUGAUAGAAUAUUCGAAAGUUGCAUGUCAGUUUCAAAGCAGAGAAUGGAAUCUAUAAGUAGUUCCUUGUUCGCCCAGCAAUAAUAUCACAUUUUCAUGCCCUCCUUCAUUCGCAACCAAGUUCUCAUCACUCAUUUAUGUAAGUUUUCCAAGUAUUUUUUCCGUUCUAGAGUUCCUUGUUACUUAAUCUCUAUAUUAAGUUUCCAAGUAUUUUUUUUCUUUCUAAAGUGCCUUUGCUACUUAAUCUCUACAAUCACAUGCAAAUUUGUUCUUCACUGAAAUAUAUAAUAUAUUAUAUUUCUACAUAUGUUGCAGAUCAGGUUCAUCACUUCUAAUGGCUGCUCCAGUUCUUGUUAAUGAUUCUGAUGUUGUUAGAAAGGAGUGUAGCAUAAUUCACAACCAAGAUAUAAAGAACAUAUCCACAAGUCACAUUUAUAAGCAAACAUUGCUUUCUCGAUUCAACUUCAUGAAAGGUUACAAAAUUAUAACAGUUGAGAAAAAUCAUUAUUUAAGUGAUUCCAGAGAUGUAUAUUUGCUAACUAGGGAUGAAAUUAGAAGUUAUCAUCGCAAAUAUAAAUUUUUACAUAUUGGGUUGGUACAAUCACUACUACAAAAUAUAGAUUUAACAUCAAGGGGGUUUUAGUUUUCACAUCAGCACGGAAAAUAACUGAAGGGAAAGAUACACACUAUGAGUUUUUACAUCAGUUGACAUAAGCACAUGAGGGUAAUUCCUUGUAGCAUAUAACAUUUACAUCAGUGGAUUAUUGAAAUGAGGGGAAAGACACGCGGUGGCAUUUUUGCAAUUUGAGUGAAAACUUUGGCUAACUUAUUACUACAUCAGUGGGUGACAAGUGCCUGAGGUAAAAACAAAUGUUCACCCNUUUAUUUAAAUAAUUUUCCUUUUAUUGAAUAUUUGACCUUUACCGUAAAUGAUACCCUUUAACUGUUUGUUGAAAUGUUUCUUCCACCUGUUUAUAUAGAUUGGGGUUAAAAUUAGGACUUACGGGUUAACUUUAAUUUAUAAGAAGAUUAGGUGUGAGCAUUAGGGUUGUUCAUGAAAAUAGAAGAUUAGGUGUGAGCAUUAGGGUUAAAACAAUAAAAUUAUGCAAUAGGGUUUAGGUUAAAAUUAUGGCUUACAUGUUUACUUUAAUAUAUAAGAAGAUGUAAAAUGUUUUAUUUAAAUAAUUUUCCUUUUAUCAAAUAUUUGGCAUUUACCGUAAAGGAUACCCUUUAACUUUUUGUUGAAAUGUUUCUUCCACCUGUUUAUAUAGAUUAAGGUUAAAAUUAGGGCUUACGGGUUAACUUUAAUUUAUAAGAAGAUUAGUUGUGAGCAUUAGGGUUGUUCAUGAAAAUAGGAGAUUAGGUGUGAGCAUUAGGGUUAAAACAGUAAAAUCAUGCAAUAGGGUUUAGGUUAAAAUUAGGGCUUACAUGUUAACUUUAAUAUAUAAGAAGAUGUAAAAUGUUUUAUUUAAAUAAUUUUACUUUUAUCAAAUAUUUGGCCUUUACCGUAAAGGAUACCCUUUAACUGUUUGUUGAAAUGUUUCUUCCACCUGUUUAUAUAGAUUAGGGUUAAAAUUAGGGCUUACGGGUUAACUUUAAUAUAUAAGAAGAUUAGGUGCGAGCAUUAGGGUUGUUCAUGAAAAUAGGAGAUUAGGUGUGACCAUUAGGGUUAAAACAGUAAAAUUAUGCAAUAGGGUUUAGGUUAAAAUUAGGGCUUACAUGUUAACUUUAAUAUAUAAGAAGAUAAAGAAUUACAAUUAAUAAUGAUGUUUUAGUAAAUGAUACUAAUUUCAUCAUCAAAAUCAACACAAUUAAUCAUUUCCUUAAUAAUUGUGCAAAAACCUUAAACGAUUAUUAUUUAGAGACGGAGGAGUAUCAUCAACUUGUCUCUCCAUCCAUUUUGAUGCUGCGCUCAACUCAUCCUUUCUUUUUCCAACCUUUAUGACCGUAAAGUUAACAAUAAAAAAUAGGCUAAAGUGCACUUUUCCCCCCUUAAGUUUUAAAAAGUUACAAUUUUGGCCCUUUAUUAAACAAAAUUGCAAAUUUAGUCCCUUAUGUUUUAGCCCCUUUGCAAUAGUGGUCUUUUUGUCCAAUUUUGACUUGGUCAACGCUUAAAUGGGUGACACGUGUGUAAUUAUUAAAUUAAAAAAUUAAAAAACCAUAUAAUCAUUUUUAAAUUAAAUAAAUUAAAAAAGAAAUUGAGAAAUUAAAAAAAAAUCAGAAAAAAAAAAAUUAGAAAAGGAAAAAAAAAACGUUAUUCAUCUUCUUCUUUCCAUGAUUCUUUCGAACCUUCUUUCUCUCUAGAGUGCAUAUUCAUCAAUCUCCUUCUUCUUCAUCUUAUUAACCCAGUUACUUCAUCAAACCCAACAAUCAUCUCCCUCAUUUUUAUUUUUUAACAAAACAUAAACUUCCCAAAAUUCUGAAAAUAAUUCAGAUCUUAAUCACAAAACAUUCAAAUCACCAAGAAAAUCAAGUUCUAGUAACAAUACAACCAAAAGUAAUAAUAUAAUUAAACUAAUCAACGUUUUGCAUAAUGUCUUCAGGAGCAAACUUGGUACCCUCCUUAUCAGCGGCAGCACAACAAGCUUUUCCUAUCCUUAUCCAAAUAAAUCUUAGUAAUCACAAUCUUAGUAAUCUUAGUAAAGAAGAAGAAAAAAAGUUGUCGAUGUUGUUGUACCGCAAUUGGGGUUGGAAUUGACUAGAACUUUUAUCCGGGCGGACUUUUACCCGUGCUACCGCCCGGGUCAUAAACAAUGGAAAAGCUAACAUAUUACAAUAUGAUCUAUUAUAUAGAUAAGAAAACAAUUCAACAUAAUCAAUAUUUUAGGACAUACAACAAUUAUUCACACAUUUUGAAAUAUCUCUUUAUACACUACAUUUAAAGUGGUGUUGAAAUAAUCUCCAUUGUCAUCCGUUCAAUCGCAAAUGUCUAUUAUAGUUGAAGCGCUAUUGUUUUUUAACGAUUAAUCUUUCUUGUUACAAUUUUUUGUUCUAUUUAUAAGAGGUAAACAAUUACUUUUUUUGUCAAUUUAUGAAUCUUGUUAGUAAUAAAUUUAAAACUCAAAUUGGUAUAAUCCAAAAGAUCACAUAAAUUGUGUAUAUAGUAAAGUCAAGACAUCAAAAUUAAACCAAGACCACAUGCAUAUAAAACUCAAAUAUAUGUAGAAUCUGAUUUCACUCAAAGAACGGGAAUUGUCAUAUAUUAAAUGGAUGGCUUGCAAAAGAGUUCCAUAACCACUAAGGUACACCUACGCCUAUUUUUUUUAUUUAAAAAACCCACUUAGUUCCUCUGUACAUGGAAAUAAAUUAAGGAUCUUAACAAUCAUGCUCAGAUAUCUUUCAAAAUUCAUCCAUUCAUGAUUACAUUAGAAUAACAUAGGCUUUCAUAUCAUUAGAUACAACAAACAUUUUAGUUGCCGCCACUCAGUGUUUGAACAAUGGUGUUGUGCCAUGGGUCUGAAAGGUGCUGCAAGAGGUUAUCAAAUCGUCCUUUUCCUGUGACACUGUGCUGACUGAUAAAUCCCAAGAAUGCCAACAUUGCAAAUAUAACGUUAGAAAUUUCCUUCUCUUUAGCCUCCAAAGUUGGUGCAAAGGGUUAAAUAUUCCAUUGGGGUAACCAACCUCACCCUUUGGCAAGCUGUAUUGCUUGAAGAUAGGAUCUUGGUUGCCUAUUCCAAGUGUUAAGUCUUGCAAUUUUCAAGCAUAAUUAAAACAAUCACUAUGCUACAUAUACCAAGACUAUUUCAAAAUAUUUAUCUUAUUGGGUUCAGUCUUUUCUAUCAAGCAUUUUGCUAAUAUGAUCAUGCAGAGUAAUAUAGCCUUUGCAUAUACUAAAUUUGAUCAUUAGAAUUCAUGAGAUGGAAAAGAUAAGCAUUACGGUAGCAGUGCACACCUCCUUCACUUAAGUGACAUUGAUACUAGCAUUAGGCUUAAUAUGACCACAUAUAGAUUUCAUUUAUAAACUUUGACAGCAAAGCAUGGUCGACGUAUAUAAUGAAAAUGGUUUUAGCUACACAAAGUGACAUACAUGUGCAUAAUUAUAUUUUUUUAGAGUAUUCCUUCUUUGUACUAUAUAAUACUAUAUCAACACUUUGGUUGAUUUGACUUAGUCAAAAUUAAUAUAGCAGCACUUUAAUUCUUCAAAAUUAAUAUAGCAGCAAACAUGCAGUAUUUCAUAUAGAUCAUAAAAAGUCACCUUUCAUAGCCUUUGUUGUUUUCCUGCUUCAAGGAAUGAACACCAUCAGUUAAUAUAUCAAGAAAGUUGUUCAUGAUGCUUUGUUGUUCAUCCAUUUGAUGAAUCACUCAAGCUUGGAUGGAUGUCAUUUUAAGUCUUCCAAAAAUCAAAAUAUUACUUCGGAAAAAUCAUUAAUAGAACUGACAUAACAUCUUUAUUUUCUGUUGGAGCAAAAUCUGUUUGGAGAGAAAAGGAAGCAAUAGUAAGAUAACACUUACAAAUGAACUAAAAAUAUAUGCAAACACCAGUAUGUUGGCUAAUUGCUGCUUCAGAAUGCCCUAUUACUUUUUAAAUGCAGAACUACAUGAGCUAGUUGAUAAUUAUCUAGCAAAUUCAAUUAGCAGAAUUCUUAUUGUGCAUAGGAGCAAACAUGAUAUUUUGGAAUCCUCAAACAAAAAUUGCAGAUUUAACCAUAAAGAAUGAAGGAAAUAAUCGAUCAUAGAAUCUAAUAAAGUAAUAUAACAUAACAACAAACACAGGGGCAGCAAGUUAGACAUCUUCGACAAUAAAUAUAUCUUCCUGUCAAUCAACAUUUGAUUCUAAAACUAUUGCUUCAUCCUAUGGUAGUGGUUUUAAUUUUUUUUAACAUAGAACACCAAACUCUAAGAAGAUUCAAAAAGCAAGUGAACUCAAUGUUCUCAUAGCAUCUUUGUAUAGAUUUUCAAGCUCACUUUGUAACACUAAACUCAAAUGAUUUUCCAUGAUUAGAACAAAAACCAAAACAACCUACAUAAGUAACAAAAAAGGGAAAUACAGAGUUAAACAUCAUGAAAAAACAUGCAAAAAAGACAUAAUCGCAUAUUAGAAAUUAUAUAAAACAAAAACUCACAACCCCGUUAAGUUCUUCAACUAUUUUGAACUAAAGCUAAAAAAAAUUAAAAACAAAAAUUAACAAAUGAUGAAUCGAGCAAAUUGAUUGGUUCAAAACUACAGUACCUUGAAAACUCAAUUUCAACAGCAAGCAAAAUCAAAUGAAGGCAAGCCACCAAAUUUAUUCAUCUAUGUAUCUAUAGCAAGCAAAGUAUAACGAAUCAUUAAUCAUUACCUUAACUUUGUUUGAUGCGGGAUUCUUUUUUAGCUCUCAAUCUUUAUCGCAGCGAUUACGGGUGAAGUUGCGGAAUUAAAAAUUGAACGGUGGAGAAGCUUCUAACAGCGACACUGGUGCGAUAAAGAGCGAAUCCGACGCGGUGAUUAACAACGGUGGUUCAACUCCGGCGCGGUUAAGAGCAUAUUCCGACGCAGUGGUGGUCAACGAUGAUGCAUUUACUUUAGAGGGUCGAAAUGAAGGCAGAAGAAGAAGAAGAAGGGAUUUUGUGUGUUUUUGAAGAAGACGAGGAAUCGUAGAGAGAUGGAGAGAAAGGAGGGUUAGGUCAGAGCCAUUGUUUCCCAAUGAAAUGGAUAUGCAACACUGUAUUCAAAACCGAUAACAUUAACUAUUUGUCAAUUUACAAUGCACCGUAAACUUGAAUUUGAAUUGUGAUUUGUGCAAGCCAGCAGCAAGAUCAGAUCUAUGGCUGAUAAAUAAGUGGCGCCCAAAGGUGUAGAUCCAAGGGCUAGGAUUGUUUGGCGCCUAAAAAAGUAGAAUUAGGGUUUGGAGUGUUAA